rnacentral:lncRNA from 1 species
CCCAGGUCCAGUCUUGUGCCCCUCCGCCCCAGGUCCAGUCUUGUGCCCCUCCGCCCCAGGUCCAGUCUUGUGCCCCUCCGCCCCAGGUCCAGUCUUGUGCCCCUCCGCCCUAGGUCCAGUCUUGUGCCCCUCCGCCCAGGUCCAGUCUUGUGCCCCUAGCCCCUCCGCCCCAGGUCCAGUCUUGUACCCCUAGCCCCUCCGCCCCAGGUCCAGUCUUGUACCCCUAGCCCCUCCACCCCAGGUCCAGUCCUGUACCCCUAGCCCCUCCACCCCAGGUCCAGUCCUGUGCCCCCCUACCCCAGGUCCAGUCCUGUGCCCCUCCGCCCAGGUCCAGUCCUGUACCCCUAGCCCCCUCCGCCCCAGGUCCAGUCCUGUACGCCUAGCCCCUCCGCCCCAGGUCCAGUCUUGUACCCCUAGCCCCUCCGCCCCAGGUCCAGUCUUGUACCCCUAGCCCCUCCGCCCCAGGUCCAGUCCUGUACCCCUAGCCCCUCCACCCCAGGUCCAGUCCUGUGCCCCUACCCCAGGUCCAGUCCUGUACCCCUAGCCCCUCCACCCCAGGUCCAGUCCUGUACCCCUAGCCCCUCCGCCCCCAGGUCCAGUCCUGUGCCCCUCCGCCCCAGGUCCAGUCUUGUGCCCCUCCGCCCCAGGUCCAGUCUUGUGCCCCUCCGCCCCAGGUCCAGUCUUGUGCCCCUCCGCCCCAGGUCCAGUCUUGUGCCCCUCCGCCCCAGGUCCAGUCUUGUGCCCCUAGCCCCUCCGCCCCAGGUCCAGUCUUGUGCCCCAGGUCCAGUCUUGUGCCCCUAGCCCCUCCGCCCCAGUCUUGUGCCCCUAGCCCCUCCGCCCCAGGUCCAGUCUUGUGCCCCAGGUCCAGUCUUGUGCCCCUAGCCCCUCCGCCCCAGGCCCAGUCCUGUGCCCCUCCGCCCCAGGCCCAGUCCUGUGCCCCUCCGCCCCAGGCCCAGUCCUGUGCCCCUCCGCCCCAGGCCCAGUCCUGUGCCCCUCCGCCCCAGGCCCAGUCCUGUGCCCCUCCGCCCCAGGUCCCAGUCCUGUGACCCUCCACCCCAGGCCC